CAUGCAUUUUAUAUUUUCAAUUCUUUACUAAUAAAAGUUCAAACGUAUGUUGAAUACAAUUGUAUAAUAUGUUCGCUGAAAUACAUUAAACAUUUUACAUAGUUUCAAUGUAUUAAAAUCAUUAUAGAUAAAUACAUUUAAAAGAUUUAAUUGUAUACUAUAUUUCAAAUGUUAUUUUUUAAAAAUAUUUAUAUUUAAUAAUAAAUAAUUAUUGUCUCGAUUAAUAUUAUAUACAAUAUUAUAAUAUAUUUUUUGUUUUGUCACGAAUGAAAAGAUUUUUAGAUAAUAAUAUCGAUUAUUUUUAUUAUUUUUUAUUUGAUCUUCAGUAAAAAAAAAAAACUUUUUUUGUUCUGAUUUCAAAAAUAGUUUGAUAAUUUUGAAUCAGAGUAAAGAAGAAUGUAGAAAAAAAAAAUGUACAACAUUUAACCGCGGAUCAGUACGUCGGUACGGAGAUCUUGGUCGUUUGAUCGUCGCUCAAUGUCGAGAUACACGGUCGCAGGUAGUCGCCCUCUACUACGUUCGCACAUAAGAUUGGUUCGUGCGUGUAUGGUAGUUUGGUAGUAGUCGCGACGCUGCCGAGAGCAGCUGAAGUGCGUGCACGUCGUUCUUCGUGAUCUCGGGACACAGUGUUUCACAACGUAUGUAUGUGUAGAUCCAUUUCUCAUCGAAUUUCGCGUGCUUGCAAGGAAAAAGUGUCGGGAAAUAUUAAAAAUCGACAAGAUUGGGUCUGACUUGCAAUGUGAUAAAUCUGCGACGACCUUGGCGGGACGAUGGAAGACCGAACAAUAUAUACAACAAGCUUCUAUUGAAUCGGGCGAACGAAAAAAGAAUCGCAACAAUGGGACACUUGACCGGGAGGGCAAAACACGAGAAGAAGAAGCGGUCGUUCUAAGAGGGUGACUGCCAUGGAGAGAUGGAAAUGGAUUGUUCCACUGCUCGCGGUCUUUUGGACCCUAACCGACGCAUACCUGGCGGUGGUGUCCUCGAACACACCCGCCGGUAGUGUGGUCUUCGAGGCAGGUGUACCACAGUUGGGUGGCCGUCGAAAGUAUGAGGUCUCGAGCGAACGAACCGCCUGGUUCGCAAGAAAAUUACUCAAGGUGCAUCCUCACACCGGUCGUGUCACACUGGCGCGACCAUUGAGCUGCGACGGCCUUCAAUAUCCACGAAUCUUCACCUUUUACGUGGAUUCGACCAGUAGCAGACUAGGCAGACCGACGAUCGACUAUUACAGCUUGCCACUUAGGAUCCUGAUCACAGGUUGUGGUGGGGAGAACCGAGAUCUGGCUGCCACGAGAGGAUGGACGGCAGAGACGUUAGCCUCGUAUGCUAUGCCCAGCACCGAGAGGUUCACCGAGGUUUGUCUUAGAACAUCGCAAUUAGUCGCGGCGUUACGAGAUUUUCUUCCUCAGACGGCUUUGAAAGAGUGCGAAACCAGAUGGGGCGGCGUAGCGGAUCCUAGGUUUCUGAUCGAAGGUGCAGCAGGAGAUUUAGUUUCAGCAACGGAACAGUGUCUAGUGGAUCCUCUUUGGAAAGUGUCCGUAUCGAUGAAUCUAAGAUGCGGAAUGGAAUCACGGUUAACCGAUGCGGAACAUCGUCUCAAGAUCGUUUUUCAUCACCGUCAAUUGGACGAUACGGAUCUAGGUCGACGAGUCCGAAGGGAAUUGAAAAAUCAGUCUCCCUAUUUUGAACAAUCCCUGUACGUCGCGGUCGUUGAGGAGGAGAAAGAACCUGGCGUGUACGUAACAUCUGUUCGGGCCAGAGACCCAGAAGGUGGAACGGUUCGUUAUUCGAUGAGUUCACUGCUCGAUGCACGAUCACAAGCGCUGCUAGUAUUGGAUCCUGUCACAGGAAGAGUUACUACGCGAGCCAGAUUAGACAGAGAAAGCGUAGACGUUCAUUACUUUCGGGUACUGGCCGUCGACGACUCGUUUCCCCCGAGGACGGGUACCACUACACUGCAAGUUAACGUUCUUGAUACGAACGAUCACGCCCCCAGUUUCGAGUGGCCAGAAGAAGAAGCUUCCAUCAGAGAGGGCGUGCCGGUAGGUUCGACGGUUGUCACAGUGAAAGCUACGGACCAGGAUGCUGGCAGAAACGCCGAGGUUGAAUAUUCCAUCUUGUCUACGACCAGUAACAGUGGAACUGCGAAUACCGAGGAUGCGUUGAUCUUCAGGAUAGACCCGAGAACCGGUGUGGUCACGACGCGCACGCCUCUCGACAGGGAAAAAACCGAAGUGUACACGGUUAUUCUGAGCGUGUCUGAUCAGGCGACGCCGCCAUCCGCGCGAAAAACCGCGAAUGCAACAUUGGUGGUCCGUGUGCUGGACGAUAAUGAUAAUUACCCUCAAUUCACCGAGCGUACUUAUUCCGCUUGGAUACCGGAGGACUUGGAUUACACGGCGAAUCCAGUGAUAGCGCGUAUACGCGCGACAGACGCUGAUUCGGGAAACAACGCGGCUGUUCGAUACGCCAUAAUCGGUGGAAACACUCAGAAUACCUUCUCGAUAGACUCCAUGGUCGGCGACGUUGCCCUCGUUAAGCCUCUCGACUACGAGUCCACCAGGAGUUACAAGAUAGUGAUACGCGCACAAGACGGUGGUUCGCCAGCCAGAUCGAACACCACGCAACUGUUGGUGCACGUGGGAGACGUUAACGACAAUGCUCCACGAUUUUACACCAGCCAUUUUCAAGAAUCUGUUUCCGAGAAUGUGCCUGUGGGAUACUCGAUCCUGAGAAUACAAGCGUAUGAUGCCGACGAAGGCGCGAACGCUCAAAUAAAAUAUACUAUUGGAGCUCGAGAUUUCACAGGCGCUUCCACCGAAAAUUUUCCCAUAACCGUCAACGCGGAGACCGGAUGGCUUUAUACGACGAAACAACUCGAUCGUGAACAAUGUUCCAGGUACCAGUUCACCGUGAUUGCCGCAGACUCGGGCGAAAUAUCAAAAUCUGCCAGCGCCACCGUGAUACUCACCGUGACCGAUGUGAACGACAACGAUCCCUAUUUCGACCCGAAGAAUUACGAAUCCGUCGUUUCCGAAGACGACCCGCCAGGCACCCCAGUCGCCUCCGUGACAGCGACCGAUCCCGACGAGGAUGCCAGGAUACACUACGAAAUCACCGCGGGCAACACCAGAGGUCGAUUCGCGAUCGCGUCUCAAAACGGGAGGGGCUUGAUAACGAUAGCCCAACCGCUGGAUUACAAACAAGAGAAAAGAUUCGUUUUAACCGUGACCGCCUCGGAUAGCGGGGGUAGGACCGACACCGCUCUCGUCUACGUAAACAUCUCGGAUGCGAACAAUUUUUCACCCGUAUUUGAGAAUGCACCCUACUCCGUCUCCGUCUUCGAGGACGCGCCCGUCGGCACGACGGUCCUGGUUGUCAGCGCGACUGAUUCGGACGUUGGGAAAAAUGCGCAGGUCGCCUACAGCCUGGACACGGACAGCGGGGAUCGGGCAGCGUCCGAAUUUGUUAUAAACCCCCAAACCGGCGCCAUCACGACCACCAGACCGCUCGAUCGCGAACUCGUGCCCGCCUAUUUGCUCACUGUCACCGCAAGGGAUGGAGGGGUGCCACCUUUGUCGGACACCACCGAUGUCGAGAUAUCCGUUACGGACGUGAACGACAACGCCCCCGUUUUCGAAGCCCCUCAAUACCAGGGAUCCAUUCCGGAAGAUGUUCUGGUUGGUACCAGUGUUCUCAGAGUAUCCGCGACCGACGCCGAUACCGAUCUUAACGGCAGGGUGAGAUACGCUCUGGAGGAGGACGGUGACGGCGCUUUCGCCGUGGACUCGACGACGGGAAUAAUCAGGACAGCGAAGCCACUAGACAGAGAAUCCGUGGCCAAGUACGCGUUGAAGGCGGUUGCGACGGAUCGAGGAUCCCCUUCCCUUUCGACCGUCGUGCCGGUGACCAUCAGAAUAGAGGACGUGAACGAUUCGCCGCCCGCUUUCGAGAACGACAAGAUCGUCCUUUACAUAGCGGAAAACUCACCGAUAGGCUCGACGGUAGGCGAAAUCUGUGCCCACGAUCCGGACGAGGGGGCGAACGCCGUUGUGCAGUAUUCCGUGAUAGGAGGCGAGGACUCCAACAGCUUCGCCCUGAACGUGAGGCCGGGCGCGGACCGUGGCGAGUUGAUCACGCUCGAGGAAUUGGAUUACGAGUCGCCGAAGAAGAAGUUCGAGCUGGUUGUGCGUGCCGCUUCCCCCCCUUUGAGGUCGGACGCUCUGGUUCAGAUACUGGUGACCGACGUGAACGACAACGCGCCCGUGCUCAAAGACUUUCAAAUCAUAUUCAACAACUUCAAGGACUUCUUCCCCGCCGCCCCUAUAGGCAAGAUCCCCGCCACCGACGCGGACGUCACGGACAAGCUGACCUACACCGUGCUGGCCGGAAACAACGCCAAUUUGAUCGAGCUGAACAGAACGAGCGGCGAGAUCCGUUUGUCCCCCCAAUUGAACACCAACGUGCCGCGAGUGGCCACGAUGGAGGUGUCCGUCACGGACGGGAUCAACGAGGUGAAGGCCACGAUGACCCUCUCGGUGCGUUUGAUCACCGACAAGAUGCUCCUCAACUCCAUCACCGUCAGACUGGACGACAUGACCGCGGAGGCUUUCCUCAGCCCCCUGCUGGGCUACUUUCUGGACGGGUUGGCGGCGAUCAUUCCAUGCCCCAGGGAAAACAUCUUCCUGUUCAGCGUGCAGGAGGACGCGAACGUGGACGGGAAGAUUCUGAACGUGAGCUUCUCCGCCCGUAAGGUGGAGCCGGGCGUGGCCGACGAAUUUUACAGCCCCCAGUUUCUUCAAGAACGCGUUUACUUGAAUCGAGGGAUACUGGCGAGACUGGCCACGGUCACGGUGCUCCCGUUCGACGACAACCUCUGCGUAAGGGAGCCUUGCUUGAACUUCGAGGAGUGCUUGACCGUGUUGAAAUUUGGGAACGCCUCUGGGUUCGCGAGCAGCGACACCGUACUGUUCAGACCGAUAUACCCCGUCACGACGUUCGCGUGCAGAUGCGCCACAGGUUUCACGGGCAGCAAAGAGUCGUACCUGUGCGACACGGAGGUCAACCUGUGCUACUCGAAUCCGUGCGUGAACGGCGGCACUUGUUACAGAAGGGAGGGCGGGUACGCGUGCUCCUGCGGCCCGGCGUUUGCGGGGGAAAACUGCGAGAUCUCGCUGGACGAGGAUUCCUGCGCGCCGGGGAUCUGCAAGGGGGGCUCCCGGUGUACCACGAAGACGACGGGCGGUUUCACUUGCGAGGGGUGCCCGGUGGCGGCUUUGGAAAGCGCGACGCCCCUCUGCGAGCUGAGAGCCCGCAGUUUCGGCCCGGCCACGUUCCUCACGUUCGCGUCCCUGAGGCAGAGGCACAGGCUGCAAGUGAAACUGAGGUUCGCCACCGAGGCGGCGAACGGCCUGCUCCUCUACAACGGCCGGUACAACGAGAAGCACGACUUCAUAGCGCUGGAAAUAGUCGAUUCCGAGGUGCAGUUCAGCUUCUCUCUCGGCGACGAGAUCACGCGGACGAGCGCGAGCAUACCUGGCGGCGUGUCCGACGGCCAGUGGCACGAGGUCGAGGUGUCUUACAUGAACAAGACGGUGACCAUCUCCCUGGACGACUGCGACGUCGCCCUGGCCCUGGAGCACGGCGACAGGCUGGGCAGGAGGUGGUCCUGCGCGGGGAGGAGCGAGCAGGUGCUGGAGGAGCGUUGCGGCAUCGUGACCGAGACCUGCCACCGCUUCCUGGACCUGACUGGGCCGCUGCAGUUGGGCGGCCUGCCCGCCAUACCGUCCAGCUUUCGCGUCAGGAACAAGGACUUCGUGGGCUGCGUCAGCGACCUCUACAUCGACCACACUUUCGUCGACCUGAAUUCUUUCGUAGCCGACAACGGCACCAACCCCGGCUGCCCGGAGAAACUCUCCUUCUGCUCGUCCUCGCCGUGCAAGAACAACGGCAAGUGCCGGGAGAUGUGGGCCGGGUUCGUCUGCGAGUGCGAGGAAACCUUCGCCGGGCCCACCUGCGCCGACGAGGUUGGCCAGCCGUGGAACUUCCACGGGGACGGGAUGAUCAGCUUCAACCCCCUGCUGAGGCCCAUCCAACUGCCCUGGUUGACGGCCCUCAGCCUGAGAACUCGGUCGAGGCAAGCGUUCGUGAUGAGCGUGCAAAUCGGGCAGAACAGCUCCGCGCUGCUCCAGAUCCGAGAGGGCAAGCUGGUCGCCCUGUUGGACGGCGCGGACGUCGUACGAACGUCCAACGACAUCGCCGACGGCGAGUGGCACAGGGUGGAGAUCGUGUGGCAGAGCGGUCACGUUUCCUUGGAUAUCGAUUACCGCGGCCGACCCGCGCUCUCCUCCUUGCCGGCCAAACUACAAGGCUUGUACAUAGGCAGGAUCCUGGUCGGGGGGCCGGAACAGUCGGCGGGCGUCGAGUUGCCGCACUUCGACGGUUGCCUCCAGGACAUACGCAUCGGCAGUAACCAGAGCGUGCUGCUGCGGCCGACCGUUCAGGAGAACGUCGCGACAGGGUGCAGCUCGGAGGCCGAGUGCAACGUAGACUGUCCGGAAGCAUCGAUCUGCGUGCCCAAGUGGAAGGCGGGCGAGUGCGUUUGCGCGACCGGGCGGGUGGGACGCAGCUGCGAGCGCGUUUGCGACUUGAAUCCUUGCAACAACGGUGGCGCCUGUGUCGAGGACGCGGCGUCCCGCAGAGGCUAUCGAUGCGAGUGCGACUCGCCCGAGUAUUCCGGCAAUUACUGCGAGAUCAAGGCCGACCAACCCUGUCCGGCAACCUGGUGGGGCUCGCCGGUCUGCGGCCCCUGCCAUUGCGACGAGGCGAAAGGCUACGACCCUGCCUGCAACAAGACCACGGGCGAGUGUUACUGCAAGGAGAACCACUAUCAACCUUCCGGCAGGAAGGAGUGCAUCCCCUGCGAGUGUUACGCGACUGGGAGCUUCGGGCCCCGUUGCGACACCGAGACCGGCCAGUGCCGGUGUCGAGUCGGAGUGAUUGGAAGGUCUUGCACGGCGUGCCCCAAUCCGUACGCCGAGGUGACGCUUCGCGGCUGCGAGGUGGUGUACGACGGGUGCCCCAGGUCCUACUCCGAAGGGCUGUGGUGGCCGAGGACGAAAUUCGGGAUGGUAGCUGUGGAGGACUGCCCCGAGACGGCCGAGGGAAAGACUUGCAGGUCUUGCGACGAUAAACUCGGCGGCUGGCAGGAGCCUGAUCUGUUCAACUGCACCUCGGAAGCGUUUAUCGAGCAGAGGCACCAGCUGGCUGCGUUGGAGACGAAGGAGUUGACUUUGAACACUUACGUCGCGGUGAAGAUAGCGAAAGACGUGUACAGAGCAGUGAACGUGACCAAAGAAUUGUACGGAGCCGAUCUGCUGGUCGCUGAAUCUUUGCUGGUGGCGCUGCUGCGGUACGAGGAGAGUUUGGUCGGGUUGAAUUUGACUCAUAGUCAAGACAAGGAUUACGUCUCUUAUCUGGUCGGGAUUGCUGGCGGUAUUUUAAAAAGCAAGUAUUUGGAAAAGUGGUCGAGGAUCGAGACUCUUAACGGCGAUACACCCGACCAAGUCUUGAAUGCGAUGGGAAAUUAUUUGAAAACCUUGACCGCCUCUCAACACGACACUUUUACGAACCCUUUUGAAAUAGUCGAUGUCAAUGUAGUGCUAGGUCUGGAUGUGGUAACUUCGGAGAGUUUGUUCGGUUACGAAACAGCGGAAUAUACGGAAGAUCCAUCCGCGUCCACAGCAAGGCCAACCGAAGCGGAUCAGAAAGUUGUGUUACCCGACACUUCUGCGUUUCUCUCCUCGCCUGCUCAUUUCGGCCCGUCAAUUACUUUCCCAAAAUAUAAUAAUUAUAUGGCCGACCCGAACAGAUUCGAUCCAUAUUCUAAAAUAAGAGUGCCUCUUGAUAUAUUAGGCAUUAAAACUUUAAUGCAAGGUGAAUUAAAUGUUAAGAAAAGUUUGGUGAAUCGAAAGGCUGUGUUGAGUUAUGUGCAAUAUAAGCAAUUAGGUGCCCUAUUGCCUCAGAGAUUUGACGAUUCUGUGACAGUUAGAUGGGGCGUAGAAGUAGCGGUAGGCUCGCCAGUCAUAACAGUAUCCGUUUUAGUUCCUUCCAAUGACGGUUACGUGUCUUUGACUGGGAUUCCCUUACAAUCUCCUGUUCAAAUCAGUCUUUGGCUCAGCGAAAAAGACGAUAUCAAGACUAGAACUAAUCCGCAAUGCGUCCACUGGAGUACAGCUAGGGGAGUGGGUGAAUGGAGUCGUAUGGGUUGCACUACGGAGAGUGAAGACGAUUCUUUGUCUUUUGGAACGAUUGUAAAUUGUUCCUGUUUCCAAUUAUCCACUUUUGCAAUAUUGACGGAUGUACUCGAUCCAGAAUACGUCCCCGAACCAUCCUUGUUAGAAGAUGUAACGAGUUACAGUGCAUUUAUGCUUGCUUUACCCUUGCUGUUAUCCGCUUUACUUAUUUUGGCUUUGAUACGAGGUGGUGGCACAAAUUCAAAUAGUAUUCAUAAAAAUUUGGUAAUGUGUGUUUUCUUUGCCGAAGUGCUCUAUUUGAUUGCACUCAAAGCUAGAAGUCCCCUAGUCUCGAAUGAAUUUCCAUGUAAAUUGACGGCAAUUGGUCUACAUUAUGCUUGGUUAAGUACAUUCUCGUGGACUUUAGUAGACUCCAUUCAUCUCUAUCGAAUGCUGACCGAAAUGCGAGAUGUGAAUCAUGGACAAAUGAGAUUUUAUUAUGCCAUGGGAUAUGGUGCUCCAGCUAUUAUAGUUGGAUUGACUAUCGGCGUUAGAGCCGAUCAGUACGGGAAUUUUUAUUUUUGUUGGUUAUCAAUUUAUGAAACUGUGAUUUGGUCUUUAAUAGGACCGAUUUGCUUGGCAAUCUUUGUGAAUUUUUGUAUUCUCGUUAUGUCGAUACGAGCGGCUUUUACAUUGAAAGAGCACAUCAUGGGUUUCGGAAAUUUAAGAACGUUACUCUGGUUAUCCGUAGCUUCGUUACCUUUACUCGGAUCUACAUGGACAUUGACGGUCCUUAACGCCUCUGAAAAUUCGCCAACGUUAUCGUACCUGCUUAGUAUAGCAGUCGUGGUACACGCAUCAUUCAGUUUGAUCGGUUAUUGCUUUAUUAAUGGCAGAGUACGAAGAAAUCUAUACUUAAGCCUAUUAAGAUGUAUCGGGAAAAAGACACCUUUGUUGGAAGGAAGUAUGGGAAAUGGAAGCAGUAGUCAAAAUGUAAAUGGUCAUUCGCGAUCUGCAUUGGCAUAUUCGUCAACAUAUAGUGGAGCAGAAUCGGUGUGUAGAAGAGUUCAUGUAGGAGUUUCGACGAGUAGUACAACUUCACGAAGUACAAAUAAAACUGGGUCCAGCCCUUAUCGUAGUGAUACACAUUUAAGGCAUACAUCAACAUCCACGAGUAAUUAUAAUAGCGAUAGAGAUCCCUAUUUAUCUUCUAGGAGUCAUCGAUCGACGUUACAUUCCAGACAAGAAACGACAGAACCAAGGAAUCAACGUAGAGAUUCCGAAUCGGAUUCGGAUGGAUCCCAAGCUGAAGGUGGAGGACGAAGUUUAGAUCUUGCGAGCUCGCAUAGCUCUGACGAGGAAGACGUUACGUCGAGAUCGCAUAGAAAUAUGGGUGUCUCGACGCAGCAGCCUGUCACGCACAGUUAUUUGCCUAAUAUACACAGCAAUCCUACCGAACAUUUAAACAUACUUUGCUCAAAUACGGAAUUAUUUCCAAAUAUCAAACCCAUUUACGCACCUAGAUGGAGCUCACAGUUACCAGAAGCAUAUUUAUCAUCGAACGCAAUGGACGUACGCGGAAGCCAAUGGUCUGGAGGUACGAUAUCCGAUAAUGAAAUGGCCUCGAAUAAAACUUCCAGUCCCAAUCCACUGCCUUAUCCAGACAUGAAUUCACCUCAAAAAAGUCAACCGGAUGAAAAUUAUUCGGAAGGCGAAGAAAAACUUCAUCAUUUGGGAGAAAAAUAUUUGUUUCCAUAUACUGCUGAAGAAGAUCACACUGUCUCGCCUACUCCGUACAUGCUGCCUAUGUCUUCCCGCAUUCUCGCGUCUAGCAUGAGUCAUCAUUCACAAAAUUCUAAUCAUGAAAAUAUGAGUGGUUCGGAAAGGUACGGAAGCUUGAAGAGAGGACAAAGUUUACAUGGCUCUCAACACGAUAACCUAAGCGGGUCGGAAAGAUACGGUAGCUUAAAGCGUGGUAAAAUAACGCCAACUGUGCUGGAAGAUUCACCGGAAUAUAUUCUACCAAUGAGUGGUAGAAUAUUGUCUAGUUCAUUAACCCACGAUUUACAACAUAGCAAUGAAUUGGCUGCGCUUCGACAGCAGCAACAGCAAUAUGAACAAACUAUCACAGAGACCGAGUAAGUGCGAUAUAUUUAAAAAAAAAUUUCCUAUAAUAAUAAAUUAAAUCAAUAUACGUAUGUGUAUAAUUUUAAUUAACUGCAUUUACUUUAUAAUUUACGCUUACUCUGGAUAAUCAGUGAAGAGGAAGGAUACUAAUGCGGAAACGUCGGUAUGAUGGUCUCCGUGCUACAAACACCGUACAAAGUAAUAUAACGUAUUAUUAGCUUAAAAUUUAAAUGAUUAAAAUAUAUAUAUAUAUAUAUAUAUAUAUAGAUAUAUAUAUUUCUUAGAGUGAUAAUAACUCUAAGAUAUAUUUUAAGAGCGGCCAUGACUGUACUUACAAAUUUAGCCAUAUUGAUUAGUAUGUAUGUGUGAGUGCCUGUAUGUAUAUCUAUAUGCAUACGCUUGUCGAUAUUUUGUUUCGUGUGACUCCAGUUUCGGUUCUGAAGUGAUUUUUUUUUUUUUCUUCAUUGAUUAUCGCGAUAUUGAUCAGUGAUGUCGGAUAGUCGGAAGACAAAUGAUCUCUAGUUCAUUUCCAUUAUUCAUGUAAUUAAUAUUACUUUUCUAGUACCUUAAUUUCUAAACUCAGUAUUGUGCAAUGUAUACAUUCCAAUUCCAUUUUAUAUAUUUAGGUUCUAUUUCCUUUCUUUUUCAUUCUUUUUUUUUUUUUUUAAAGAAAUUUACAUAUUAUAUUUUAUACAUGCCAUGGAAGAAGCGUACAACUUUGCGGCGCAAUUUUCAUAGUUUUGUAUAUAUUUAUAUGAAAAAAAUGUGACAAAAUACAUAAUUUAUAUAUAUCCUUCAUCUAA